GUUUCUGUCUCGAAACCACAGAACAGCAGCUCCUCUUCAAUCUCCUCACUACAAGAGCUCUGAAAGACAUGGGAGAAGGUUCCUGGAAACUGCAGUGAAAGCAUCCACUGGUUUGAGGCAUUAGUUUAGGGCACUCACCAGCCCUGUAAAUCCAUGGGACAGCCGCACUGUUGGGCAGAAGAGAACGCAGAUGGUGGCUGGUGUUUGAAUCCAGUCGUUCACAGCAUGGCAUGUUCUCUUUCAGAACCAGCUGGAGGAAAAAGUCCAGAUCCUCCAAGAGAUCCAGCAUCUGCUGCUUUUCCACCAGGUCUUGGGCUUUCAGAUAAGACCUAAGAGGACCUGCAGCCAGAGCUUCGGCAGACAGGGCCGGCUGGAGAU